rnacentral:rRNA from 1 species
GACGAACGCUGGCGGCGUGCUUAACACAUGCAAGUCGAACGGAGUGGCGAACGGGUGAGUAACACGUGCGUAACCUGCCCUUGACUUCGGGAUAACUUCAGGAAACUGGGGCUAAUACCGGAUAGUUUUGGAUGGACUCGCGGCUUAUCAGCUUGUUGGUGGGGUAGUGGCUUACCAAGGCAACGAUACAUAGCCGACCUGAGAGGGUGAUCGGCCACACUGGGACUGAGACACGGCCCAGACUCCUACGGGAGGCAGCAGUGGGGGAUAUUGCACAAUGGGCGAAAGCCUGAUGCAGCGACGCCGCGUGGGGGAUGAAUGCCUUCGGGUUGUAAACUCCUUUCGACAGGGACGCGGUACCUGUAUAAGAAGCACCGGCUAACUACGUGCCAGCAGCCGCGGGAAUAC